rnacentral:tRNA from 1 species
GCCCUGGUAGCUUAAACACAAAGCAUUGUUCUUGUAAACCAAAGACGGAUCUUUUUCCCCCAGAGCA